UACGUAGGGGGCUAGCGUUGUCCGGAAUCAUUGGGCGUAAAGAGCGUGUAGGCGGCCCGGUAAGUCCGCUGUGAAAAGUCGGGGGCUCAACCCUCGAAUGCCGGUGGAUACUGUCGGGCUAGAGUGCGGAAAGAGGCGAGUGGAAUUCCUGGUGUAGCGGUGAAAUGACGCAGAUAUCAGGAGGAACACCGGUGGCGAGGGCGACAUCCUGGACCGGCAUUGACGCUGAGGCGCGGAAAGCCAGGGGAGGCAAACGGG
rnacentral:rRNA from 1 species